GAAAAAUCAAGAAGAAGAAAAAGAAGAGAAAGAUGGAAAAACUCAAAAAAUUUAGGCAAGAGGAGAGGGAGAAGAAUAGACGACAAAAUUUUUUUAGAAAAGAGAGUCAAAAUUCGGUUAUGAGGAAAAAAUAAAAUAAAAUUCUAAUAACCCUAAAAUCCCUUAAUCUUCUCCCCUAAUUCCCACUACACAUUCACUACUCAGAAUCCCCCUAUUACACAACCUUAUCCCAAAAUUUGAGCAAAAAUAAUAAUACCCUUACUUGCAUAGGAAUUCGAACACAAGACCUCCACCAUAAUAACACACCAUUUAACCACC
rnacentral:lncRNA from 1 species